CGAGAAAGAAAUCACGUUUCUAGGCGGAAAUUAUAGCUAUGUUAUAUUAUAAUGUAAUACUUUAUAUCAUUAUUACAUUCUUAUCUAAACUUUCCAUCACAGACUUGAUUAGUUUUAUGUCUCCAUAGCGUAAUCAAGAUGCAAGAUUCAAACACGAAAGGCGAUGAUAUAAUUUACCAGACACAGCACGACAUUUUCAUGCGCCUACUUCCUGUUAUUGUUUGCGGAGCAAUUCUGGGCGCAGUGGGGAUAAUCGGCAACAUUUUUGCGAUGAUCUUUUACACAACGAAGUCAAAAGGAACCACGACUGUCAACUUGAUAAUAAGCCUGUCAGUAGUAGACUUUAUUGUGUGUUUACUGGUUAUCCCAAAUCUUGUUGAGGUAAUACUAAACGUGGGAAACACUCAAAGGUUUCUCUGCAAGGCGACACAUUUUCUCAGUUUGUGGACCAGUUGCAAGUUCAUGUAUUUUGUUAUGGGUCAUUUCAAUAGACAGGCACAGAAGAAUCUGCAAACCUUUUGCUAAACAGAUAAAAAUCCAUGCAGUCAAAUACAUAGUUGCUAGUAUUGUCAUAUUUUCAUUUGCACUGGCAAUUAGAAAUUUGAUCAUUUAUGACACAGUUGCUAUAGAAAUUUCAACAUCAAGUAUAAAUAACAAGACUACAAUUGGAUAUUACUGUACGAUUACGGAUGAUCCAGAGUUAAAGAUUAUUGUUUCUUCUUUCUAUGCACUGGAUUUUCUCCUCAUCUUAAUAGCUUGGGUUACCAUCAUUGUGACAUAUUCGAAUGCAAUUUUUAUUUUGAUGAAGCAGAGACGUAAAAUGAAGCGGCAACUGCCAAAACUGCAACACAACAUCAAACGCGAACAGAGCAUAACGGAAACAAGCUACGGUACAUGUGAUGCCGAUGGAAGGUAGUGACUGGAAUAUAUCGGAAGACCUUGAUGUAUCAAGAGGGGUGGAUGAGGAAAGUUCAUACAGAGAUGAUAAUGAUAAAGCACAUACGUCUCAGGAUGGAAAUCAUCGGCCUGCUAUGCUUACUGUCAACCCGAGGGCACAUUCUGU
rnacentral:lncRNA from 1 species